GUAGGGAAGAAGCGAAAGUGACGGUAGUAGGAGAAGAAGCACCGGCCAACUACGUGCCAGCAGCCGCGGUAAUACGUAGGGUGCGAGCGUUGUCCGGAAUUAUUGGGCGUAAAGGGCUCGUAGGCGGUUUGUCGCGUCGGGAGUGAAAACUCGGGGCUUAACUCCGAGCCUGCUUCUGAUACGGGCAGACUAGAGGUAUGCAGGGGAGAACGGAAUUCCUGGUGUAGCGGUGAAAUGCGCAGAUAUCAGGAGGAACACCGGUGGCGAAGGCGGUUCUCUGGGCAUUACCUGACGCUGAGGAGCGAAAGUGUGGGGAGCGAACAGGAUUAGAUACCCUGGUAGUCCACACCGUAAACGUUGGGCGCUAGGUGUGGGACUCAUUCCACGAGUUCCGUGCCGCAGCUAACGCAUUAAGCGCCCCGCCUGGGGAGUACGGCCGCAAGGCUAAAACUCAAAGGAAUUGACGGGGGCCCGCACAAGCGGCGGAGCAUGCGGAUUAAUUCGAUGCAACGCGAAGAACCUUACCUGGGUUUGACAUAUAGAGAAAUCCUCCAGAGAUGGGGGGUCCGUAAGGGCUCUAUACAGGUGGUGCAUGGCUGUCGUCAGCUCGUGUCGUGAGA
rnacentral:rRNA from 1 species